rnacentral:misc_RNA from 1 species
AUUGCUAGAAUCUAAGUUUAUUUUUUCCCAGAAGCAACAGAAAUAAGGGACUUAAAACAAACAGAUCUUACAUGAUUGUCAAUGUACUAAUUGCAUACAAUUUAUAAAGCAACAUUAGUUUCUCGUGCAAUGUUUCCAUGUUCAAGAGUUCAAAUAACUAAGAAAACCAUCUAUCAAGUCGUCAUUAUGUAAACAUGAAAGGGGCAGUAGGCUUGCAGGGAAACAAAAUAUUGAUAGUUGAAACAUCAAUCAGUUGCACUAUCCAAGUCACUUUCUUGUAGUGUCCAAGUUGAAGUCCUGAAGGUUAAGCAACAGAUCAUCGGCACUCAAGUACACCUUGUUUGCUGCGUGUGAGAUAGUCUGGGCGAUUUCUCUGGCUGCUUCAAUCUUCCUGAGAGUGAUAAAUGCUGGAUUGUUGGCAAUAGCUUGACCAAUCAGCUGAGCACUCUUAGCUUCUCCCUGAGCUCUGAUAACAGCACUUCGCUUAUCUUGCUCAGCUUUUUCCACAACAAAUUUCGCCCUCUCGGCUUCUUGAGCAGCCACUUGUUUUGCUUCAAUUGCAGCAGUAAACUCUUUCCCAAAUGUUAAGCUUGUUAUGGAUACAUCAUCAAGUGCAAUGUUGAAGUUGGCUGCCCUGUCUGUCAAAAUCUUCCUUAUUUCUCUGCUAACAUUCUCUCUCUGGGUGAUGAGCUGGCUAGCAUUGUAUUGGGCAACCACAGCCUUCAAAGUUUCAUGGAUAAUUGAAGGUAGGACCCUUUCAUUAUAGUUUUCACCAAGAGUUCGGUAAACUGUGGGUAGUUGGUCUGAAACUGGACGAGUGAGCACCCUAAGACCAAUUUUUACCAUCUGGAGGUCACGACUUCCCGAAGUGCUCUCCACAAGAUGGGGUCGUGCACGAACAUCAUAUAUGACUGGUCUUUCAAACCAAGGAAUCAUGAAGUGUGUCCCUUCUGGAUAAACCUUGUUUUUGACACCACCAAUACGGUUGAAAACAAUCGCGCGAUGCCCACCCUCAACAUUGUAGAGACUGUUGGCAACUCCAUACACACCAAGACCAGCAAUAACUCCAAGCUUGAUCAAAGCAGAAGUUGCACCACCACCAGGCAUCUUGGGAACCUUGACAUUGUUGAGAUUCAUUUUACCAGCUCCUGAUCCGAACGAAGUAGAGAAGUUUAGGGUUUUUGGUAGAAAAUGAAGAGAGA